rnacentral:lncRNA from 1 species
GUCAGGCAUUAUCCUGGAGAAAAUAGCCAAAGGCAUGGCGUCCUGAGCCAUCAGACGUGAUCCAGAGCAUGGCCUUGGUCACGCCUUUGCUGGGCGGGGCCGGGCCAUCGCCGAAAAACAGAAUGGCCCGAGUGCACAGGAAUGGACCUUCGGUCCUGCACAAGUUCCUCCUCUCCUGCUGCUGACCACGCCUCGCUUCCUCCCUCCUCUCCCUCAGGACCUCUGCACCCCCCUCUACUCACCACACCACAACUCAAAGUGUGGUCCUUGCAUGGUCACUUGGAUGGUAAGGGCAUUUACACAACAAUUUUAUGAACAAACAGGUUAGCAGAGCACAUCGUUGCAUUCCUGAACGAGAGCUGAAGUUAGCAUCUUCCUCUGAGACCCCAAGUGGUGUCUCUCUAAUGACAAGGGAAUAUUCUUGCACAUGUGCAGAUGUCGGGCAGUGGGCGGCAAGAGAAGGGACAGAGCUGCUUACAUCUGUUUCUUUUGUAACCAAGAGCGAAACUGUGGUGCUCAGGCAGCCCAGCAGGGCCAAUCGGCACAAUGCCCAAACACACCGACAACUUUUGCCUUGGCCUCCUCUUGGCUCUCCCUGCAGCAAACCUGUGAACACAGGGCCAGAGCCAGGCUCUGGAUGGAAGGACUCAAAGGUGUCCUGCCUUUCUGUUGCUUCCAUCUGCACCAUCACUGGAAAAAUCCUUCUACGUCCAUGCCUGUCCUUCGACGUAUACAAGCAGGUUUUGAUUUCACACGUGGAGUUUUCUAGUGGAACAUUACGUUGAGUUACAUGUCAUCAGUCAUACACCACCAAGCCACCCUCCGGUAACUCACUGGGACAUGGAGCAAGUGUCCUUGGCUGCAACAGUUACAGAGCAUGGGGUGGACCCCAGGACGUCACUGCCACCUUCUGUGGACACCUCUGCUGACCUUCCCUACCCUUGUUCAUCCAUGCUCCCCUGCCUUCCUUCCAACACCUGUUUUUUUCUCCCUUGAGAAGGAGGAAGGCAGGUGGGGGUCUUGCGGCAGAUCUUGGCCCCAGCCUUGCUUCGUCUCUUUACAGUGGAUCUUCAAGCUACAUACUUCUCUAAGCUCGGGUUACUCCUCUAAAAAUGGGCACAAUAGUACUUGCCUGCUGAAGUGAUCCAGAAACUUGCUGAGUUUUUCCUUCAAAUAAAUAAACAAGUAAAACCAAC